UGAUAAAAUAUCUCAGUACUAGCCCGGAAUUAGGAAAUUGGCGGUGUGUCAUCCCCGUGCCUCGGAGAGCACGUAAAGCUGUCGGUCCUGCGCCUGAUCUUCCUCCGAUCGUGUUGAAUUUCCGUGCUAUAGGACUGUGAGAGUGAGAGAAUAGAGUGCAACGGUGUUUGCGCACACACAUCUGCAUAUAA